UUUCUAUGCUCACUUUGGAAGAACAUGAACUAAAAUUGGAACAAUCCAGAGAAGAUUAGCAUAGUCCCUGCUUAAGAAUGAUACACAAAUUCAUGAAGCAUUCCAUAUUUAA
ensembl:snRNA U6 U6 spliceosomal RNA